AAUUUUGGAGAUAAAUGGAGUAUUUAUAGGAGAAAAUGAGGAAGUUGGCCGACCCUUUAGGGUUUAGGGGUAGCCGGCCCUAGGGUGGAAUUUGGGUGAGAAUAUUCCAAGAUAUUUGUGUAAAUAAAUAUCUUGGAGUGAUUAGGUAAAUAUACUAAAUAAAUAGGAUUAGGAUUACUUCUUGAAAGAGGUAUUCUCUUAUUAGGAAUAUAUUUUUUUUAUAAGAAUAAGGGAUUAUUGUAUUAUAAAUACCUUGGACUUUUCCUACGGGCAGGGUUGCCUUAAGCAGUCGUUGAUCUCUGCCUGCUCUACCUCAGCUGCGUGUGCUGAAUGAGACUGCUUCCUACUCAUUUAAUAAGGGCAACCUUGUCUUUCUUGGGAAAUAAUCCACGUGUUAACUCCAUGAUUUUUGGGAUUAUUUUUUGCUCCACAAAUGUCCCCACACCUAUUGGGCUGCUUGUAGGAAAAGGGCAUGAGGUGUAGGAAUCCAAAGCUGCAAUGUAGUUUGUGUCCCAAUUUGUUGUAAAUUCCCUAUUUGAUUUGGAAUUUAAAUUCUUCUAGGAAAGGGAAUGUAAUUGCCACCAAAACCUAUUUAAGUCUACGUCAAGUAGGAGAUUAAAUAAAUUUGGAGUCCAACUAAAACCUCACAAGAAAGAGAGAAAGUUAGAAGAUAAUUGUUCCUUUUCCCCUAGCAAUCUUCUUCGCUUGCCCAUGCAAAGAAUUGUGUUCCAUUUCUUUUCUUUUUCUCCAAGGUAAGAAAAUUUUAAUUUUUCUUUUCUUUUUUAUUUUUUUGAGCCUCAAGGCUUGAAUUUUGGCUCGAUGAGGUCGACAAAAAGAGGCAGAUGUAGGGCUGUAGUGGCAGCCAUGUUGUUGCAAGUGGGAGGCGUGGCUUUGCUGGCUGGGGCUAGGUACGGCUCGACUCGGGCUGAGCUGGUUUGGGCCACUAGGCUUAGGUUUGCGUGGCUGACUAGGCUGCUAGGCUUGGGCCCUUGCAGCAAUGGAG
rnacentral:lncRNA from 1 species